UUAUUAUUACUCAUAAAUUUACAAACUAAUAAUUUGGGGUUUAAUACUUUCUAAGUUUAUAUAAUAAUCCCUUGUGUUCAGAAGCAGAUUCGAAUCCCCUGUUGUACCAACGCAGAAACUCUAAACAAAAGAACAAAGCUGAAGAGUGAUCAAUCAUGGAGGAGAACAAGCAGAAGAGCAUUCACGACAUCCUCCCUCUUGACCUGAUUCAGAGAAUCUUAUUGAGGAUUCCGGUCAAACAUCUCGGCCGCCUCAAGUGCGUUUGGAAGACUUUGGCACUCUCUCAUUUCCGAUCCAGACUUCGCGGAAUCGCAUCUUCACUUCUCUCUCGCACUCAUCCAUGCGUGCAUAAAAAACAAGGACUCCACGGAAGCUUACAUUCUUCACCUAGAAGAAGCAUUUAACGACAAAAAUUAUAAAAUCAAAGAGGUACUUCAAGUUUCCCCGUAAUGCGAUUCUGUAUGGAUUUGGUUAAGAUGCGUCACGGGAUGACUACUUAGUUGUUGUAGCUUGGAAGGAUAGUAACUGCAAACUCUUAGAUUGCUUGUCCUUGAGAACCAAUUCAUGGAUUAAUCUUGAUGCUGCACUCCCCAACCCAUUGGAUCUUACGAAGUGGCAAUCUCGUGGGUUGUUCUUUAAUGGCUCUAUUCAUUGGUUGUCGUCCUCUCUUCUUGCAUUUGAUUUGAAGGAAAGAAGUUUCUCAAAGAUAUCUUUGCCUGAACAACUCAUAAUUCCUGAUGCUGCCACAUUGGUCAUACUAGGAGGGUGCCUAGCCUUGUAUUCUCAGGACUGGGUUGAACGCAAAACACACGUAUGGGUGAUGAAAGAAUACAAAGUGCAGUCAUCUUGGACUUUGUAUGUCAUUCCUUCUUUAAAGUUUGAGCCUCUAUGAUUAUCCAAUGGUAGUGACAUUAUUGCAGUAGUAUAUGGAUCAAUAAAGUUUGCCAAAUAUAAUAUCAGAGAAGAGCUGCUCCAACGUUUUAGAUGUCCUCAUUUUCAACAGCUAGCUUACAACUGGACAUGGUGCACUGUAUAUACAGAGAGUCUCUUGCCGUUCCCUAGUAAUGGUAAGCAUAAGGGUAAGAAGAAGAAGAAUGUUAUUUAACUAUUCUGCUAUGCUUUGCGCCACAUUAUUCCUGCUAGUUUUAAACUUUGUGAUUGAUGUAGAAGUACUGAGCAAGAUGCAUUGUGCAUCAAGUUGCAUUCAGAUCUGAGUUUUGACUAUCCAUGGUGAAACUUGAUUUAUCAAGUGCUUGGGGAAUCACUAAUCACUGUCUUUCUUUCUAGAGUCUAGUCUUGUGAUGAGGUUUUAGGGUUUAGCUCUUUUUCAUUUCUAAAGAUGUGACAUUUUACCAUGAAAAUCUUAUACAUGCUUCGUUGUUUCUGCUGAUUGCUAUAGAUAAAUAUUUUUAGCUGAUGUGUAUCCUUAUAAUGUUAGGCACAUCAUAAUGAAAUUAAAUUCAUAAGAUUUAUCUUAAUGUCAAUAUGUGACUGAUAAAACCGUUGGUAGAAAAAGCAUUGGUAAUUAACCAAGAAUUGAAAUAGAGGCUGACUUGCUUACUUGAACUAGGUGUUACGAAAGGGCAACUACAUAACCUAAUUUAUAACUGAAGAAAUAAAGAAAAACUAGCGAUGAAACUGGACAUGCCAGUAGAGUUUCAUAACAAACACUUGGUCAAAGCGAAAUGUGUAUGUGUAUUACAAAUAUAUUGAAUUUUUCUUAAAUUCCCUGUUUAGUCAGUUACCAAUAUCAAGAUUAUUGUUGAUAUAUGCACCAGUAAUAUGUUCUCUAGUAAUUCGACACAAAAAAGUAACCUUUUGAACAAAGAGCAAAGUCUAUCCUAGACAAUAAAAUGUGGGAAAAAACGUGAUUAACCUGUGGAAAAAAGAGAGUCUCUUGCCACUCCCUAGUGACAUUAAGGAUAAGGAUAAUCGGUAUGUAACUAUCCUCCUAUGCUUUGCACCAAGCUAUUCCUGUUAGUUUUCAUUGCAUUAUGAUUAAUGAAUAAGUAAUAAUAUGCUUUAUGCAUCAAGUUCCAAUCAAAUGCCACUUUUGUCUAGAUGGUGAAAUUGGAAUUUAUCAAUGCUUAGGGACUCAUUGAUCACUGUCUUGCUUCCUAAAGCCUAGUCUUGUGGUGAGGGAUUUUAACUUUUAAAUCAUUUCUUUUUUUUCAUGUGUAAUGCAAUGGUGAUCUCUUCUGUAUGCCAUCAGAAUCAGAAAGAUGUCAAACAAGGAAAGAGAAUUAGAAGAGAAUGAUUGCACAACGGAGCCACUUAAUUCUGUUGUAAAUAAAGUGUAGGAUUGGCAAAUUCUAGAGAAUUUGAUUUUAUUUUGGCUUUGCUUUGCUUUAAAGUGUGAUUUCCUUUCUUCCAACUAUGAAUGUGAAAAAUUGGACAUUUGAAAGUCCAAAUAUAGCUUCCUCUAGUUGAAUCCAAUCUGUGAUAUUAAAUUCUUUAUCUUUAUUCAAUACUUCCUUGGUUGUAUUAUUAUGUCUACACAGAAUAUCACACAUCAAUAUGAGAUUUAACAUGUAAACAAAUUGUUAAUUUAUCAAUUCAGUUUGG